CGACCUUAUCCGAAUGUCGUUGUCAUCGACUAUCGUCGACCAUCUUCUAAUGUGUCCGACCAUCUCCAAACACCCUCAACCACUCCAAAUGCGGUCGACCAUCUCCCAACACCGUCUGUCAUCGAAUUUGUAUUUUUCAGGGUUUGUUUAUUGGGGUCAUGAUCAUUUUACAAGUCAGUGGUGGGAAAAGUUUGCAUCUAUUGCUCUUUAGCAAAGACACGUUCUUCAUUUAUCUUUUGCCUUUGAUUAUAUUCAACGCCUGGUAAAGUUUCUGCACCAUAUGAUUCAUGAUGCCUGCAACAAAUUUAUACUGGUAGUGGUCCUUUUAUACAUCAUAAGCAAUGGGUGAGUUGUUUUUCUUCAUGCAUAAUUGUUGACCAUGACCACAGCUACAUUUGGUCUGUACUUGUUGCUGUAUUAUGGUUUAUUUAGAAAGAAGUCAGAUUGUAGAAUUGAACUUCUUGUCAUUUGUGCUGCGCAUGGUAACCUAAAGUUAUGAUCCAACAUGUUCUAGAGGUUGAAGCAAACAUCUUUUAUUGAGGUUGAAUUAGAUUUUAGCCAAUUCAUUGUUUUU